UGUUCCUCCCAUCUCUCCACCCCCCCACUUUCCUUUCCUGGGGGGCUCCCAUCUCUCUCUCUCUCUCCAACCAGCCUUCUUUCUCAGCACUUUAUUUACUCACACACGUUCAUCUCAGCCACUUCACUCAUACCAAGCACAAUCCACUAGCUCAAGCCACACAGCUCUUGCUAUAUAAUAUAUAAAGAGUUCAAUUGUUAUUUAUAACUCAUAUAAUUAGUCCAAAGUCUAUUUGUGGUUUGGUUUUAUUACAGUAUAUUUCUAUCUUAAAAUGAUAAAAAAUAUUAUAUUGUCACCAAAGUGGUCAUUGAGGAUUACAUGGUUAAUGUUUUAUACAAUUUAAUUCUUUAAAAUAAAAAAAUAUAGAUCUAUAUAUAUAUAUUACACAUAACUUUUGAUUUAUUCCUCACAAAUCAGUAAUUUUACAAUUCAGGAUAAUUGGGAUAUAUGCUAAUUACAUCAUUCCAAUAGCUAUUUAUAAUUCGUAUAACUGCGUAAAAUUCAAUUUAGGGUUAUUACUCAUUAAUUUAUAUAUUAAAAUAAGUUCAAAUAUUAUAUUGUUACCAAAACGGCGUUUGUGGAUAAUAUAUGUUCAAUGUUUUAUACAAUUUUAAUUAUUAAAAAUAUAUAUUUAAUUUAAAUAUAUGUACCUUUCCAGUUAAGUGUCACAAAUUGAAUUAUGGGUAAUAUGAAAAUAUAUGGGAUAUGGAGAAACCCAUUGAAUUAUUCUGCCGUAAAUACCGCAAUUAACCACCAGGGGGAGAUGUUCGGAAACUGCAUGCAAUCUUGUAUUUGACCAAAUGUAAACAAUUAUCAUUUUGUCUACGAACAUCCGAUCCAGACGCAUGAUACGUCUUUGGAAAGCCACAAAACGGCUUUUUUAUAUAAAAAAAAUAACCCCUGCAUAUUGAGCUACAGGGCACAGCACGAGCAGUGAAACCAGGGUCCCCACAGACUUCUAUCAGGCGCGUUCACGGUCAUAACAAAGCCUACGUCAGCAUGCGCGCUUCACAGAAUGUCCGCCCCCAUGCUUGCCUGGAGUUUCACAUCGCAAUAGGAUUCUCCUCAGGUCUGUGAGGAUGAGAAGGUCUCCACAGUCUGGAGUCUGGUCUCUGACAGGCUCAACAUACCUGUCAAUCAACAGGGACUCCUCUACAAAGGCAAGGCGCUGGCAGGUAGGCUGAACAGCACAGCACAGCACAGCUCACCCCUCCUCUCACCCCUCGCCUCAUCCCUCCUCUCACUCCUCGCCUCACCCCGGGUCAGUGUGGCACAGCCUGCCUGCUCUUCUGAACAAACACUUCAGCCCUGCCGACGCAGUGAGAGUCUGGAGCAGCAACACAAGGUAACCUGAACACAAACACACACACACACACAGACACACACAAACACACACACAGUGAGAGGCUGGAGCAGCUACACAAGGUAAAUUGAACACAAUAAACACGGCUACACACACAAUCCUAGCUGCAGCAGAUGUACAAUGUUAUACAGACACACACAGACACAGCUGUACAGUGACACCGAGACGCACACACAAUCACAGCUGCAGCACACACACUCUGAAAUGCAGGUGUAGAGCAGCGUGUAGUUGUGACUCUGUGUCUCUCUCCUCCCCCUCUCCUCUCCUCUCCUUACUUUGUUUAAAAGAAUAGAAGCACACCCAGUGAGCAAGGCAUUGAGCAGCCCCACAUCCCGCUUCACAAUACCGCUACAUAUUGACUGACUGUUCGCAUUGUGUGUGUUUGGUAAGACAAACCACAUUUUCUACUUCUACUUUCUACGAUUGGGCAAGUCAGCGGUUGUUUGAUAACAGAACAUAAAACAUCACAGAGUGGGUUGAACUGCAUUGCUGGAAAUCAAGGCCCUUUAAAAUGUGUACCUUCCCAGCUCAGGUAUUGCUGAGGUAAAGAGACACUUCCUACAGGAGGACAGGACGUUGUCAAGGAGGGGAUGUCGUCACGUGUCCUGAGGGCUUUCUUAAAAACAUUGUUUUAUUAUUUCUAAGCGUACGUUGUUAUUGCCUUUUAGCUCUUGAGCAUAAUAAUCUCAAUCCCGUUUGAAAUGACACUAAGUGCAUUUGCAUGGUGGCAGAUGAGGGAUGUCGCUUCACUCAAGGCUUGCGUACUGAUGAAGAUGUAGUUUCAGUGUUUAAUGCUCAUCCCCUCACUGUGUGUCUGUGUGUGUUCUUGUCUCUCGCCUGUCCUGUGAGGAUGAAGAUGUAGUUUCAGUGUUUAAUGCUCAUCCCCUCACUGUGUGUCUGUGUGUUCUUGUCUCUUGACAGGUCUGUGAGGAUGAGAAGGUCUCCACAGUCUGGAGUCUGGUCUCUGACAGGCUCAACAUACCUGUCAAUCAACAGGGACUCCUCUACAAAGGCAAGGCGCUGGCAGGUAGGCUGAACAGCACAGCACAGCACAGCACAGCACAGCUCACCCCUCCUCUCACCCCUCGCCUCGCCCCUCCUCUCACCCCUCGCCUCACCCCUCCUCUCACUCCUCGCCUCACCCCGGGUCAGUGUGGCACAGCCUGCCUGCUCUUCUAAACAAACACUUCAGCCCUGCCGACGCAGUGAGAGUCUGGAGCAGCUACACAAGGUGAUGAAGUGACACUUUGAAUAUGGGGCCUGAUGAGAGAAGUAUCCUUUUCAUGUGGUUUUGGUUUUGCCGUUGUGAGCAGGUAUGGGAGACAGCACCGUGUCUGCAUGUGAAAUAACAAAGUCAUCGCAGUGGAGGGACUCUCUGAAGGCUGCUGUUUGUGGAUUUGUCUUGUAAUGUGAGUGAUCUACUGUACUGUGAUGCCACUGUCUGUACGCACGCUGCACUGCAGGGGAGACACCGCUGGCAUUCACAGGGCAUGCUUGUUCAUUUAAAGCACGCUGCACUGCAGGGGAGACACCAACCUUCUGGACAAAGCCAAAACAGAUAGAGGAGUGACCAAAGUGAUCCUAUCAUUCGGAAUCAACAACAAGGACCAGAAAGUCAAAGAGACAGCUAUCAAAAACCUACAAAGGAUGUACAGGUCAGCAAAGACAACCUUCCCAACUGCAGAAAUCAAAGUGCCACUGGUGAACUUCUCACGAGCACUAGACAUGCAGGCCCAACGGAACUUGGAAGAACUAAACGGAUUCAUCUCAGCCAACCUACCACACAUACCGCUAUUACCAACUGAGAAAUUUCAAGUAGGCGGAGACAACAUCCACUGGACAACCAACACAGCCAAAGAUAUGCUCCAGCACUGGUGCCAGCAUUUAAACUAGGAGACCCCACAAGCCCAAAUAUCUCCAGGGAGGGGGCAUCCAACAUAGUCAAUCUAUGUAAAUACUUCACACCAACAGAGAGUCAAAACAGCCUUUUGAGCAAAGGCCUCUCCUUCAUACCCACACCGCAAACUGAAGCAAAACAGAAGCAGACACUGCGAGCAGAAACACAAGACUACCAUAGGAGGCUAAAAAUCACAACCUUCUUUGAAGAGGAAGGAGACUCAAAUCACAUACCCUUCCUACCCAAAUCCAACUGGGAACCAAAUAACAACCAAGUUCCCCAGGAAAUCACAGAGAUUAUUCUUGAAGAUCUAAAAACAAUACACAGCCUGAACCCAGGUAACUACAGAACAGAAGACAACCUAACAGCACCAGAAAGGAUUGCACUUAAGGAAUUACAAAAACAUACCGACAUCAUUUUCAAACCAGCAGACAAGGGAAGUUCAAUAGUAAUAAUGGAUAGAGAAGACUACAUCUUUGAAGCCAACAGACAACUAAAUAAUCAAGAACACUACAGGAAAUUAGAUGCACCAAUUUAUCUUGAUUCUGCUCAGGAAAUUAACAGAAUAAUACAAACACUAACAGACCACAAAAUAAUUACUAGAAAACAGGCACACUAUCUCAAGGGGGCAGACACACCCAGAGCACGCAUUUUUUACAUGCUACCAAAAAUACACAAAUCACCAGACACAUGGACUAUCCCACACACCAUACCACCAGGCAGACCGAUAGUAUCGGAUUGCAACAGUGAAUCAUAUAGAAUUGCAGAAUACAUAGACCACUUUUUAAACCCCCUAUCCACCAAACACACUAGCUACCUUAAAGACACAUAUGACUUCAUAGACAAAAUUAAAACACUCAAACUACCAGAAACAGCUUUUCUCUUCACAAUAGAUAUAGACAGCUUGUACACAAACAUAGAGACCAACACAGGCAUUGCAGCUAUCAGGAAAUGUCUAAAUCUAAAUCCGGAUCCAACCAGACCAGACGAGGAACUGAUCAAACUCCUGGAAAUCAGCUUAAGGAAAAACGACUUUGAAUUCGACAACCAAUUCUACCUCCAAACCAAAGGAACAGCGAUGGGGAAACGCUUUGCUCCAUCAUAUGCUAACAUCUACAUGGCCGAUUGGGAAGAAACAAUCCUCCCCAGAUGCCCACACAGACCAACUCACUAUUUCAGGUACCUAGAUGACAUUUGGGGCACUUGGACACAUAGCAUGGAGGAAUUUACACAUUUCAUCUCGUUACUUAACACACACCACCAGUCCAUCAAGGUAAA